CUACGGGAUGCAGCAGUGAGGAAUAUUGCACAAUGGGGGGAACCCUGAUGCAGCAACGCCGCGUGGAGGAUGACGCAUUUCGGUGUGUAAACUCCUUUUAUAUGUCAAGAAAAUGACGGUAGCAUAUGAAUAAGCACCGGCUAACUCCGUGCCAGCAGCCGCGGUAAUACGGAGGGUGCAAGCGUUACUCGGAAUCACUGGGCGUAAAGGACGCGUAGGCGGGAUAUCAAGUCGGGUGUGAAAUCCUACAGCUUAACUGUAGAACUGCACUUGAAACUGGUAACCUAGAGUAUGGGAGGGGGAGAUGGAAUUAGUGGUGUAGGGGUAAAAUCCGUAGAUAUCACUAGGAAUACCUAAAGCGAAGGCGAUCUCCUGGAACAUUACUGACGCUAAGGCGUGAAAGCGUGGGGAGCAAACAGGAUUAGAUACCCGCGUAGUC
rnacentral:rRNA from 1 species